AAGGGUAGGCCAACGAGAUUUGAGCGAUAGGAGGUGAUUAAACUUUUUGCUUUCUUCUUUACGCAAGCUUAAACUCGACUUGUUCAUAUUUGCUAUCAUGGUAUGACCUUGUGGGAUUUUUCUAAUCCUCACACCAAUUUCAAUUCUUUCUUCAAGUAUCCUCAGGUCUACAAAGUUUGAGGAACACUCUCAGCAUGGUCUCAUAGAAGGGUGAUCGCAGAGUAUUUAGGAAUGUGUCAACCAUCUCAUUAUCACUCAUAAUAAACUUCCCUUGAGCAACAUCCCACCUUUGGGUAUACUCUUUGAAUGAUUUUGAGUCCUUUUUCACCAUACCCUGUAGUUGUAAUCUAUGAGAUGCCACAUUCGUGUUAUANUCGAAAUGCUUCAAGAAAGCACCCACCAGAUCCUCCUAAGACUGGAUGCACGAAUGUUCAAGAUGAUUGCCCCAAUUAAUGCCAUGUCAGACAAUCUACCUUGAAAGGAAUGAAUUAGCAACUUUUCAUCAUAUGCGCACACAUCCGUUUUCUUGUCAUAUGCCAUGAGAUGAGUCUUAAGAUAAAUGGUCCCUCUAUAUUUCUCACCUUUGGAAAAUUUAAACUUUUGAAUGUAUCAUUAGAUCCGGGACUAAGCAAGCCUUGCAACAUUUUCAAACUUAGCGCUUCAUUCACCUUUUAUGACGGUCAUCUUUUUUCAGCAUUUCAAGCUUACCCCUGUCAACCUUAACAUCCACUGGUGUGUAAUCAGGGAAAUAAAAUUUCAACUCAGAUUGCCUUGUCAUCGUCAUGCUCACAAUACUUGAUUAAAGCCUUUUCCUAGGGACCAUGAAAGUGGUUGCCCCAAGCUUGUUCUCCACUUCAACUGCGUUAUCUUCGGCCUUUUGAGUGUGAACUUGCCCCUGAGUACGCUCCUGAGGGUGAAGUGUAAUUUAGGGGAAGACCAUGUAAGGGAAAUUUUGGGCUUCUUGAACUUUGUGUUGAGGCCAAGGUGCACACGAAUCCCCAAGGUUUUUCAAGGCACUCAGGACCUUUAGAGCUUGACUCAUUUGCCCCUUCAAUUGUUGGAUAUCAACUUUCAUCCCUUCUUGAACUUCUCCUUGGUUCUCCAAGAUUUAGUAACUGGUUCGAGUCCUUUAGGGUAUCUUGGAUUUUUUUCUAAUUUUAUUAGAUGAAACAAAAAGAAAAUAAAAAAGAAAAGAAAAAGAGAAGACCAUGUAAAGAUUGCCCCGGUAUAAUUUGGAAAUUAACACAAAACAGAGUCAAUAGGUUGGCCCAUCAUUCAGAAGUUCACAAAAUGUGAGGCAUAUGAAGUCUUGGUCAACUACCCUGGGGCUUUAACCAUCAGAUUUUUCAUUUCUCCCAUUGAUUUCUUGCAGCAAUUGAGGAAUGUUUCAAUCCCUUUAAGCAGGUUAAAAUAUCGACAAUGCAGACUCAGCUUCGGCUAAUGACUUAGGAGCGUUUUCAUUGGCUUCAUUGGUAAGGGAAGCUAGUUGUGAGAAGUUUCACUUUCAAUUCGCCCUUGUUUAACAACAUGUUCCUUCAUUUGAAUUAUCAAUCCUUGAUGUCUCCUUUUUAGCAUGAUGCUAACCUUCCUUCUUUAGUUUGGCCACUGCUGCUUUCACACGUUGUUCCGCAUUGUGAAAUUACUUUUCACCAUUUGGGUUAGGAGAAAUUAACUUGGAUGGCAACUUGACUGUAUUAACCCUCUUUGUGAUCAAUCUGGCUAAGGGCAAUCUUUCGUUAAUGGUCCAUGAUCUUAGGCCUCUCUUCGAACUCCGUAGCUCGCCCUUUGUUCAACAACAUACUCUUUCUUUUCAAAUCACCAACUUUUUGAUGCCUUUUUUUCAGCUCGACGAAGUCGUUCUUUCUUCAAUUUUGCCACUACUGCUCUCACCCGCUGCUUAGCAUUAUGAACUUGUUUCUCGCAGUUUAGGUAAGAAGAAAUUAACUUGAAUGACAACUUGAUCGUUUUAACCCUCUUCUUGAUCAAAUUGGCUAAGGGAAUCUUUCACCAAUAGUCCAUGAUCUCGGGCACCUCUCCAAGCGAACAACCUUGCCACAAGUGUCCCUAGCAUGAAGCAUUUCAGUAAAGGUUCAUUCUUCAUAUGAUCUGCAAUGUGUCAAGAGAUGCAGGCGUUGGUGACCUUUUCACAGGAUACCCAAAUUGUUUUUUUUUUUCUCUUUUUUUCUCUUUUUUCUCUUUUUUUUUUUUCUGUUUUUGUUUUGUUUUUUUUUUGUUUCUUUUUCUCUUCUUUUUUCUUUUUUUUUCUUUUGUUUUUGACACACACACAACAAUGGAUACCCAUGAGGGGGACAAUAGGGUAAUUCCUGCAACGACGUGCGAUACAUGAUAUUUGCUGCAUAUAGACAUGUCAUUUAAACUUUUCCUCUUCUAAGCUUGCAUAGAGUUGAGCUCAUUCAUUUACUCCCUUUCAUCUUGAGUUUAACCGAAGUAGUUCCUAAGGGACAUGUGGCAUUCAAAGCGCCCUUACUCAUGCGAGAAAUGAAGCACACAUACGACACCGGUAAACAGCGUAACAUCUUCCUUCUCCUUGGCUCACAACAUUGACCGAGGGUCUAUAAGUUUCAGCUAGGCCAAUGGUGAAUGGAUUCUCAGAGUUAGUACAUUCACGAAUGUUUCCCACAUUUCCUCCUAGGUCAAUCAAUGCAAGAACCGCCAUAAGUACCCUUGAGGAAAGUCCUUUGUUGUAAGUAUGGAUUCAUUCUCCAACUUCAUAGGGGAACUUUCAUUAUCCUUGCUAGCUGCAAAUCAGGUAUAUACGGCCCAAGGUGGUAUGAAGUGUUUCCCUUGAGGAAUACAUCUAAGGUCUCCUCAAAUUCUUCUAUUGUUGGCAUCAACUAGAAAUUGGUCAUAGUGUUGGGCUAAAACAAUAAUUGUUGUUGUCUGGACCUCCACCUCUGACAGGAUCAACAAAUUCCCACCCAUUCCUGAAUGUAUUUUUCAAGGUCAUCUUUUUCAUAUCCCUCAAGAGAUUGAUACUGCCCCCCUUGACUUCAAUGCGUAUGCUCUUCUUCAAAAAGUUUAAACUUGAAUGCCCCUUGACUCAAAAUCUCAUGUUAAUUUCCAUUUUUACCGUAAUCACAACUUUAUAAUUUCCUGACUAGAACUCACAAAAUUUUGACAAGACCAUAAAAACAUGAGCAACAAAGAAAGAAAGAAAGAACAAUGUAGUGAUAUGAACGAGGUGCUUGAUUUUAUUAAACAAAAGUGAGGGUUAUAAGGAUACACACAUCUCCCUUUGUGCCCUAGAGAAGGUUCAACACUUCAGAUUCAAGGUCAAGUAUACGCGUUCUCACCAGGAUAGUUCCCUGAGCCUAAGGAUCAAAGGUCACUAGAGCUACGGCCCCCUUCAAAGCAUCUCCACAACAGUCGAGUAAUCAACUAGGUGUGAAGACACAAAUGAAGAGAACAAACUCUAGCUGGAGUUCUCACGAUAGCCAAACAGGAAGUACAUCCCAGAGUGACACCGCUACACAACUCCUCUAAUUCUAAGCUGCGCUCAGACCCGGGUAUAGGGCCUCACUCAAUAGAUGCAUAAUACGUGUGUGUGUGAAGGGAGAAUGCAAUGCACCCAAACCCUCACCUGCAAAACAACCAGAAAACUUUCCCAGGCAGAUAUAACAUGUUUUCUAGCCUAGGGUUCAAUAUUCAAUAGUUAUUGCAGUUAUUCCAAAUAUCAAGCAUAGAUAGAGAAAAAAGGGAAAGAAAAACACAAAGCAAAACUACAUCGAAUUCGUGCAUCUAAUUAAAUGGCUCGACUCUCUAGCAGUCCCCAGUGGAGUCGC
rnacentral:lncRNA from 1 species